GUGGGGAAUAUUGGACAAUGGGGGGAACCCUGAUCCAGCCAUGCCGCGUGUGUGAAGAAGGCCUUUUGGUUGUAAAGCACUUUAAGCGAGGAGGAGGCUACCGAGAUUAAUACUCUUGGAUAGUGGACGUUACUCGCAGAAUAAGCACCGGCUAACUCUGUGCCAGCAGCCGCGGUAAUACAGAGGGUGCAAGCGUUAAUCGGAUUUACUGGACGUAAAGCGCGCGUAGGUGGCCAAUUAAGUCAAAUGUGAAAUCCCCGAGCUUAACUUGGGAAUUGCAUUCGAUACUGGUUGGCUAGAGUAUGGGAGAGGAUGGUAGAAUUCCAGGUGUAGCGGUGAAAUGCGUAGAGAUCUGGAGGAAUACCGAUGGCGAAGGCAGCCAUCUGGCCUAAUACUGACACUGAGGUGCGAAAGCAUGGGGAGCAAACGGGAUUAGAUACCCGGGUAGUCC
rnacentral:rRNA from 1 species